UACGGGGGGGGCAAGCGUUGUUCGGAAUUACUGGGCGUAAAGGGCGAGUAGGUGGCCAUCUAAGUCAGACGUGAAAUCCCCCGGCUUAACCUGGGAACUGCGUCUGAUACUGGACGGCUUGAGUAUGGGAGAGGAAUGUAGAAUUCCAGGUGUAGCGGUGAAAUGCGUAGAUAUCAGGAGGAACACCGGUGGCGAAGGCGGCUUUCUGGACGAUAACUGACGCUGAGACGCGAAAGCGUGGGGAGCAAACAGG
rnacentral:rRNA from 1 species